rnacentral:lncRNA from 1 species
CGUGGUCAUGAGUCUGCAGUGGUACAAAUUCGCAAUGAUUGCAGUUUUUCUAGUUGAUAGUUAAUGUUCGUAUUAGUUGACUGUUAGUUGUUCAAGUUGACUUGUAAAAGUAUGAAUGGACUUGCUUCCCUGGAAAGAAAACUGAGUUUGUGUUCUACAGUACAAAAGUUAUGAGACACAAAUCAGACAAAUGUUUACUACUACAG